GUUUGUACCCGAAGUCAUCUUAGCCAACCAUUUGGAGGCGGAUGCCUAAGGUAUGGGGAGUGAUUGGGGUGAAGUCGUAACAAGGUAGCCGUAGGUGAACCUGCAGAAGGAUCA
rnacentral:rRNA from 1 species